UACCUGGUAGCGAACGCAAGGACACCGAAGACAAUCACGUCCGGCCGCCCCGACACCGACACACACCCAGCGCUGCCAGCCGCUUCUGAACGCUCGCGGCUCCGCGGAGCUGGGAUUUAUGCAGCGUCUGUUGCGUGACUCAUCACUGCUUACGUAGCCGCCGUGUCCGUACGCUACUGAAAGUAGUUCGCUCGGCCCCACCUCCCGCAGCCCGGUUAGGCCCUUCCACCGAGCCCCAGGUUCCUCAGAGGCGAAGAAAGGACCCUAAAAAUUCAGCUCCCCUCUCUUCCAGGUGACCCUUCUCCUCCCUUAGGAAAAAAUAGGAACAUUAUCAGGCGGAUGGAUUUGAGUUAAGGGGACCUUCCUCGAAAGCUCUCGAAACUUCCUUGCGGCGGCGGCGCUGAUUGGUGAGGCGGAUGAAGGCGAGGCCGGUGCUGAUUGGUGGGAGACGCGGCGGCUCCGUUGUUGCUGGGCUCCGUGCUGGGGUAAGUAAGCGCGGACGUUGCUAAGUAGCUCAGUGCGCGUGCGCCCCAGAGGCGCGCCUUCGCGAGAGAGGUGUACUUCCGGCCGGAGAGGGAGGAGGGGUAAUUGACUCCCGCCUCCGAAGUCCCCCGUCCCCCCACUAAAUGUUGGGUGUUUGGGCCUUAAGUGAGGAAAAAGCCUCCCCUGCGGCGACUUCCCCGGGAAGGCCGCCCCGGUUCCGGUUUGGGUGGCGCGGCUCGCGCUGGUUUCUGCCGGCGUCUGCCGGCGUCUGCAGCGGAAGCACAAACCCGCCCCCCACCCCCAGUCUUAACGCGAUCCCGCCCUGGUCGGUUUUAGUUUUGCGCUUGGUAAUGGCGGGGUUGAAGAGCUUUAAUUACACUUGUUUAUUGGAGUCAGAAUGCUUUUGUCCUUCUCGAUCCCCACAAGGGCUCCUAGGAGAGUCAGUCAUCUAGAUUCUGGUGGUGGGAACCUCUGCGGGGCCCGGGCCUCCCAGCGCCUUCAGGCCCGGAGAGGCGAGGCCCCGGCUCCAGGUGACACGGGGGCGGGCUUAGGUCUGGCUCUCGCGAAACCCGCAGUCUCUUUCCCUUCUGUUUCACCAAACUCUGGUGGGGAAAAAGAGAGAUGCAAAUUAGGGAGCCGAAGACCCGCUUUGAGAGCUGACGAGGAAUUCGUGUCCAAGAAAGUAAUAGCUCUCCCAUUAAUGUGUGGUGUUCAAGCGACACUAAAGGCGGAGCAACUAGCAUCUUCUCCUGAGUCAUACGUGUUGGUGGGGAGAAUAAACGAGAAUGGAGAUCACCUGACUGAUAGGAUGACUUAG
rnacentral:lncRNA from 1 species